UACGUAGGGUGCGAGCGUUGUCCGGAAUUAUUGGGCGUAAAGAGCUCGUAGGCGGUGUGUCACGUCGGCCGUGAAAACCUGCAGCUUAACUGUGGGCGUGCGGUCGAUACGGGCAUCACUGGAGUUCGGCAGGGGGAGACUGGAAUUCCUGGUGUAGCGGUGAAAUGCGCAGAGUAUCAGGAGGAACACCGGUGGCGAAGGCGGGUCUCUGGGCCGAUACUGACGCUGAGGAGCGAAAGCGUGGGGAGCAAACGGG
rnacentral:rRNA from 1 species